rnacentral:rRNA from 1 species
UACGAGGGGGGCGAGCGUUGUUCGGAAUUAUUGGGCGUAAAGGGUGCGUAGGCGGUUCCGCAAGUCCUGUGUGAAAUCUUCGGGCUCAACUCGAAGUCUGCACGGGAAACUGCGGGGCUUGAGUGUGGGAGAGGUGGAGUGGAAUUCCCGGUGUAGCGGUGAAAUGCGUAGAUAUCGGGAGGAACGCCUGUGGCGAAAGCGGCUCACUGGACCAUAACUGACGCUGAUGCACGAAAGCUGGGGGAGCAAACAGG